rnacentral:rRNA from 1 species
UCGAGAAUCUUCGGCAAUGGGCGCAAGCCUGACCGAGCGACGCCGCGUGGAGGACGAAGGCCUUCGGGUUGUAAACUCCUGUCGAGGGGGAGAAAGGCACCGCAAGGUGCUUGAUCGAUCCCUGGAGGAAGCACGGGCUAAGUUCGUGCCAGCAGCCGCGGUAAGACGAACCGUGCGAACGUUAUUCGGAAUCACUGGGCUUAAAGCGCGUGUAGGCGGAUCGGAACGUCGGAGCCUGAAAUCCCCCGGCUCAACCGGGGAACGCGGCCCGAAACGACCGGUCUCGAGGGGUGUAGGGGGGACUGGAACUUCCGGUGGAGCGGUGAAAUGCGUUGAGAUCGGAAGGAACGCCCGUGGCGAAAGCGAGUCCCUGGACGCCUGCUGACGCUGAGACGCGAAAGCUAGGGGAGCGAACG